UCAGUUUCUAUCAAUGCAGAUUUUAUAUCUAUAUACUCCGUCUUCUACUCUUCAGUCACAUUCUUCUCCAUUUAUUCAAAAUCUGAGAAAAGAAGUUUAGAGAAAAUCAUGAGUUAUUCAAGAAACUUCCUGCAAUUGCAAAUUUGUAUUAUCCAACAAAAGUUUAAAGGAGAAACGAGAGAUAUUUGUUUUCAAGUCCUCCUGCUGCUGGCAAUUUCUUUCUGCCAAUUAAAGGGGAGAGAGAGCUUACCGGUUGUAAGAAACGGAUCUGCCGACGGAGGAGCUGGCAGUGGCUGGAUUGCAAUGCGUUGGCGACGACGGCCAGAAGCAGCGGCGCUGCCCGACGGA